AAGUAGAGUGCCGGCGCUGUCGGGGAGCUCCUGCCCUGACAUUGCUGGCUUUGAAGAUGGUGGAAGGAGAUCAAUCAAGGAAGCAGGUGGCCUCUAAAAGCUGGAAAAAGUACAGAGAGCCUCCACCUUGAUCUUGGCCCAGUUAGAACCCUGUCAGGCUUCCUUCUACCGAGCUGUAAAGGAUGAUUAACCCUGAGCUAACAUCUACUGCCCAUCCUCCUUUCUUUGCUGAGGAAGACUGGCCGGGAGCUAACAUCUGUGCCCAUCUUCCUCUAUUUUAUAUGUGGGAUGCCUGCCACAGCAUGGCUUGACAAGUGGUGCAUAGGUCCACACCCAGGAUCCGAACAGGUAAAAUCUGGGCUGCAGAAGUGGAAUGUGAGAACUUAACUGCUGUGCCACUUGGCUGGCCCCUAAAGGUAAUUUUCCUGAAGUGUUUUAUGUUAUUGCUUGCAUGAUUAUGCUUUUGUUGUAGUUGUAUACUACUCCAUUGUGUGGGUAUAGCACAUUUUAUUUAUGUAUUCACUUAUGAGCAUUUUUCCUGCUUCCAGUUCUUGGCUGUUAUGAAUAAAGCUGCUAUGAUCAUUCAGGCAUAAUUUAUAUAGAUAUCCUUUUUCCUGUUUCUUGCAUAAAUACUUAGGAGUGGGAUUGCUGGGAAAAAUGGUAGGUGUAUGUUUAACAUUAUAAGAUGAUGCCACAAUGUUUUCUAAAGUGGUUGUGACAUUUUGAAAUUCCCGUAUUCCAGUUGUUCCACAUCCUUGCCUAUGCUUGAUAUUAUAGGUCUUUCAGAUUUUAGCCAUUCUAGUGGUUCUAAUGGGUAUGAGGUAAUAUCUCAUUGUGAUUUUAAUACACAUUUCUGUGAUGGCUAACGCUGUUGAGCAGGUUUUCAUGUGGAUGUAAGCCAAUUAUAUAUCUUUUGUGAAAUGUCAUCCAUGUCUUUGCUAUAUUUUUGUAGAGUUGUUUGUCUUCUAAUUGUUGACUUGAAAGAAUUUUGGCUAUUUUAGAGAGUUGCAUUCAUAUAAAGUUUAGUCACUUUGUCACUUGUUAUAAAAGCUUGCUAGAAUUAUAAUAGGGAUGGACUUGGCUUUAUAGGUCAACUUGGGGAAUCUGGACAUUUAGCAAUAGUGAGUUUUUCCAUUAAUAGCUAUGACAGAACUCUCCAUUUAUUUAGGUCUUAUUUUUUCUCGGCUAUGUCUGUAGUGUUUAGUUUAGAGGUCCUGCAUAUAUUGUUAAAUUUAUUUUCAAUUAUUUUCUUUUUAAUACUGUUUUAGAUAGUAUUUUUAUUUCUUUCUCCAGUUACUUGUUACUACUAUAUAUAGAAAUACAAUCCUUUUAUUUUAUAUUAGCCAUAUGUCCUGUGGCCUUGAUAAACUUACCUAUUAAUCUUAGUAGAUUUUUUUUGGUAGAUUCCUUAGAAUACACAUACACACACACACAGAUUUUUUUCAAUAUAUAUUCUUUUAUAUAUGUCUUUUACUUAUUUUUCUUUAAUACACUUGCUAGGAUCUCUAGUGGAAAAGAUACAGUGAAAAUUUACAUUCUUGCCUUGUUCCCAAUCAUAGAGGGAAAGUAUUUAGUUUUUCACCAUUAUAUAUGAUACCAGCUACAAGUUUUCAUAGAUACCUUUAUCAGGUUGAGAAAGUUUUAUUCUAUUCCUAAUUUUCUGAGAUUUUUGUCAUGAAUGGGUGUUGACUUUGAUCAAUUUUCACCUUUAUUUUCUUUAUAUCUGCCUUCCUUAUAUAAAGCCUACAUGAUCUUAAAAUAGGACGCUUUUUAUAUUUUGCUGAAUUGGAUUUGCUUAUAUUUUUUUAAGUCAUGCACUUAUUGGUCUAUGAUUUUUCCUCUCUAAUAAUGUCCUUGCCAGUUUUCUCUAUCAGAACCUCAUAGAAUGGGAAAACAUCAUUAUUCCUCUGCAUUUUAAGGGAGUUUGUGAAAGAUUGGUGUUACUUCUUCCUUAAAUAUUUGAGAUUCAUCAAAGAGACUAUAACUUCUGAAUGUGACGUUAUUUGGAAUAAGCAUCUUUGAAGAUGUAAGUAAGGCAAGGAUCUCAAGACAAGAUCAUCCUGGAUUAGGGUGGGCUGUAAAUCCAAUGUUAGUGACCCAGUAAAAGAAAGAAAAGGAGAAGACAGACACAGAGGAAAAAGCCAUGUGAAGUUGGAGGCAGAGAUUGGAGAGCAGCAACCAGGCAAGGAAUACCGAAAAUUGCCAGCAGCCACCAGAAACAAGGAGGCAUGGAAUAAUUCUCCCUCAGAGAAUUCAGAAAGAACCAAAUCUAUUGACACCUAGAUUUUGAACUUUUGGCCUCUAGAAUUGUGAGAGAAAUUUCUGUUGUGUUAAACUGCCCAGUUUGUGGUAAUUUAUUAUGGUAGCCCUAGGAAAUUAAUAUCCUUGCAAGGUGUUAAUUUUACUAAUCACUUUAGAGAACCAAUAGUUGCUUUUAUUAAUUUUCUUUAAUGUUUAUUUUCUAUUUAAUUUCUGCUCUGACGUUUAUUUUUUCCCAACUUAUUUUGGGUUUAAUUUUUCUAGUAUUUUUUUUUUUUUGAGGAAGAUUAGCCCUGAGCUAACAUCUGCUGCCAAUCCUCCUCUUUUUGCUGAAGAAGAUUGGCCUUGAGCUAACAUCCAUGUCCAUCUGCCUCUACUUUAUCUGUAGGACGCCUGCCACAGCGUGGCUUGAUAAGCAGUGUGUAGGCCCACAUUUGGGAUCCAAACCGGCGAACCCAGGGCCACUGAAGCAGAAUGUGCAAACUUAACAACUACACCACUGAGCCAGCCCCAAAUUUUUCCAGUUUUUUAAGGUGGAAACUUAGAUCAUUAUUUACAAACCUUUCAUCUUUUCUACUAUAACCAUUUAAAACUAUAAAUUUCCCUCUAAACACUGCAUUCCACAUAUUUUGGCACGUUUUUAUUAUUAUUUUGAAAUUUAUUGUAACUUCUUGUUACUUUUUGAAUCAUAGGUUAUACAGAAGUGAGGCAUUUAAUUUAAAAAUAUUUAGGGGGUUUCUAUAUAUGUUACAGUAAUUUCUAAUUCAAUUCCAUUUAGGUCAGAUAACAAACAUUAUAUAUAGUUUUCAUCUUUUGAAGUUUCAGUCAUUUUAUGACUUGUAUGGUUUGUCUUGAACAUUCCAAGUGCAAUUGAAAAAUAUGUUUAAUCUAUAUUCGUUUUAGACGUAGUGUUGAAUAAACUCAAUUAGGUUGAUAAUGCUGUUCCAAUUUUCUUUAAUCAAUAGUAUCUCUAACUCUGAUUGUAGAUUUAUAUAUUUCUCCUUUUAGGUCAGCUAGAUUUUCAUGAAUUUUAAGGAUGUUGUUAUCUUUUCCUGCUUAUCUAAUUUAUCGUUAUGAAAUGAACCUCUUAAUCCUUGAUAAUGUUUCUUAUUCCGUGGUCUACCUUUUUGGUAUUAAUAUAGCCACAGUAGCUUUUCAUGCUUACCAUUAACAUGGUAUAUAUUUUUUCAUUUUUUGCUUUUGACUUACUUGUGUUUUUAAUGUUAAAGUGCAUCUCUUGUGGACAGCAUGUAGUUGAGUCUUUGUUAUUGAUUCCGUCUGCCAUCCUUGCUAUUUAUUUAUUUAUUUGUGUGUGUGUGUGUGAGGAAGACUGUCACUGAGCUAACAUCUGUGCCAAUCUUCCCCUAUUUUAUGUGGGAUGCAGCCACAGUGUGGCUUGGUGAGCAGUGCUACAUCCAUGCCACAGAUACGAAUCUGUGAACCCUGGGCUGCCAAAGGUGGAGCAUGUGACAUUAACCAUUACGCCACUACACUGGCCUUCAUCUUUGCCUUUUAAUUGGAGUAUUCAGGCAAUUUACAUUUAGUAUAAUUUCUGAUAUGGUUGAGUUUAAGUAUGCCCUUUGGUAUUUGUCUUUCAUUAGUCCCUUUUGUUUUCUCUGUUACUCCUUUCUCGCCUGUCAGUUAAAUUUGUAUUUUAUUCGGUUUUGCUUCCUCUCUUGGGCUCUUUGUU
ensembl:lncRNA